rnacentral:snRNA from 1 species
UUCCUUUUAGGCUUACCUUCUUG